rnacentral:rRNA from 1 species
AUGGAUGACCAGAAAAUUUACUGCCGUGUGCCUGCGUGGGAGGAUAGAAACGUGGGGUGGGACCUUGAUCAUAAAAAUAUCGGCCUCCUCCUCUCAUCGCUCGAUUCCUCCUCUCCUCCCUGCCGCCGCCGCCUCCUCUUCUUCCCUAGACCAUGCCUCCUCCCCGCUCCUCGUUCUGCCGCCUCCUGCUGCUCCCGCACGGCAGCCGUCUUCCAUCCGGCGUAUCGCCUAGCGGAGCAAAUGGCGGAUCUGCCACCUCUCUCCUCGCCGGUAAGGAGAAGCCAGACUGGUGCUGGGGAGAGCCGGAGACGGGGACAAGAAGCAGUAGCUAGUGGUCGGCUCCUGCUGUGGUGGAGUGGAGCUGCAGGGAGAGGAAGGAGGCCGGCGACAGGGGAAAAGAACAUGUCGGCUCUGGUUCGUCAUGGAGAACACAACUGCUCGCCCUCCUCUGCCUCUUCUUCUCUGGUCCAUGGAUUCGUUGUGGGUCUCUAUUGGCGGUGUUGGGGAUUGUAA